rnacentral:rRNA from 1 species
UACGGAGGAUCCAAGCGUUAUCCGGAUUCAUUGGGUUUAAAGGGUGCGUAGGCGGAAUGAUAAGUCAGUGGUGAAAUCUCUCGGCUUAACCGAGAAACUGCCAUUGAUACUGUCAAUCUUGAGUACAUUUGAUGUGGGCGGAAUGUGUCAUGUAGCGGUGAAAUGCUUAGAUAUGACACAGAACACCGAUUGCGAAGGCAGCUCACAAAACUGUAACUGACACUGAGGCACGAAAGCGUGGGGAUCAAACAGG